GGAAUGAAGUUAGCAGGGAAUAUAGAUAGUCCAGAAUUCAAGCAGUCAAAUUGUUGGCAAGAAUAGCACAACAGAGAUUUAUAUUCUGCCCUCUUUAAUCCCUUUUGCUGAGAGGAAGGUUGGUGGGGGGGGGCAGUCCUAGCUCUUAUUUCUUUAGGCAGAAAGGAAUCAAAUGGUGCUAGGCUGAGCAAAUCCUUCCCACAAUUAAGCCAGGGGCAGAAAUGCUAGGAUUUCCUUACUGUUUCCAAUCUAAGUCAUCUUUGCAAAGGACUGACCAAUACUCUAGAGCCAAAGCAUUCAUUUAUAGGCAGGCUUUGGUUUCCUUCCUUAAAUUCCUUUUUUGGGGGUGGGUGGGGGGCGUGGGUGAAUAAUGAGAAACUAGGCUUCAGAGCUUGGGUGGUCCAAUUCCCAAUCCUUUGUUGAAAGUUCUGCAGCAGACUGCUGUAGCCAGGAAGUCCCAACAAUCACGCACAGCUCUCCAGACCUUUGAGAGCACAUAGAUUUCAGCAUGCAUGCCCAGAGCCAUGCACUUUUUCACUUCCUCUGUUACCCUUGCAAAAUAAAGAUGAAGGUUCAUCCCAGCCAAAAUGAAUUGGUGGGGAAUGGCCUUUGAGCAUGUGAUGGAUUCUGGAAAGCUGCCUCCCUCACCCUAACAAUAAACACCAGUCUUUUGUUUUCUGUCAUCUCAGGCCUACCUUUUCGUUAUUAAAGAUCCAUUGCCUCUCUGAUUCUAAUAAAAGCAUUCUGAUUUUCAUGUUUUACCUGGAUUACCACCUUUGUGGGAAUUACUUCAUUUCUUUGAUUCUAAGAUGCAUUUUCUCCCCCAUUUGAACAUUUCUGAAAUGCUCAAUUAGUGUGCAAUGUAUGUGAUUGAUGUGAUAUUCCACUUUAUCCUUGGGUAAGUUGUUAAAUUGUUGAUUCCUGUUAAAGGGAUGGCAUCUUAGAAUCAAGAGAAUACCAUAGCUUCUUCAGUUAAUUUCUAGUUUAGAUCCUGAAAUUGUGUAACCACAACAUCAUGGUGGUGGUCAUGGAAGAGGAGGAAAUGAAGAGAAAUGAAGAGAGUGGGAAUAGAUUUUUUUUUUGUAUUAUUUUUCUUUAUUAGAGUACAGUUGGUUUACAGUGUUGUGUCAAUUUCUGCUGUCCAGAACAGUGACUAGUGACCUAGUCAUACAUUUAUAUACAUUCUUUUUCUCAUACUAUCUUCCAUCAAGGUGUACUCGAAGAGAUUAGACAUAGUUCCCUGUGCUGUACAAUAGGCUCUCACCUUUUAUCCAUUCUAAAUGUAAUAGUUUGCAUCUACCAACCCCAAACUCCCUAUCCAUCCCACUUCUUCCUCCCUCCCCAAGGAAAAUGUAUUAUGGUGGAAAUUUCUAGAAAUCAAUCUCUGGAUUUUGAAGGCUUCUAGGGCAGUAUGUAGAUUGUUGAUUGGGAGAAGGACUAUGCCAGAGAAAAUUUUGCUGUCUUAUUUUCACUUGGGCUUAUGGUUUGGACCUCUAUUUAGCUGCCUUUAAUGGGGCAUUUCCCUCACCUAUUGGAGUAGGAAAAUGUGCCUCUGUUUCAUCAUUACUGUCAAGAGCCAUUUAUUUAUUGUCUACUAUAUAAAAUUACAAAAGAUAUAUAAAGCAUAGCCUUUGAACCUCAGGAUAUGUUGAUUAUAGGAAAUUGAGAGAUUUUUGUGACUCCAUUGGUGGGGAAAGCCAUUCAUUCAAUAUUAUUACUUGGUAGGAGCUUUAUUAUAAUAUAAUUUACAUACCAUACAGCUCACCCAUUUAAAGUAUAUAAUUCAGUGGAUUUUAGUAUGUUCACACAGUUGGGCAAACAUCACCACAAUCAAUUUUAGGACAUUUUCAUCACCCCAAAAAGAAACUUUAGCAGUCACAUCUUCCUCCCAGCUCCCUCAACUUUAGACGUCACUAUUCCAUUUACAAUUGAAGACCAAGAGUAUAGCAUGGUGGAGAGACUAGACUAGGUCAAUGAACUAGGAUUUAGAUGUUUUGAGAAGAUUACACAUUUUGAUGUUGCUCCUUAAAAAUUAUUUGAUUUCUUUGAGCCACAUUUUCUUCAGCUGUAAAAUUGGUAGCAUAACACCUAUAUCACAUAUAGUUAUCAUUAACGUGGUGGUUGUAAGGAUUAACUAAGGUAACAAAUGUGAAAACACCAGCCGAGGGCAUGUCCCAUAGUAGGUUCAGAAUGCUGUUUUCCUAAUCCUUUGAUCUCGCCUCCAGAUGGGCCCCAGGUUGAAGUGCUGAAGGGUGGCCGGUCCCCUGCUCCCUUUAUGUGAGGAUUGCAUCUUCCGCAGGUGCCAACUCAAUGGUUCCUCCCAGAAAUCCCCUCUUGGGGAUGGUUAAAGCCCUGAGAUGUUGCUGGUGACCCCUCAACUCAGUAGUUGAAUUGAUCAUACAAAACAGAGGGUCUGAUUUCCAUUUUCUUAGGAAAGAAGAAAAGCCACAUGAUCCACUUAUUUCCAAAAAUGGGAGGUCGGCCUAUCGUAUCAAAAUUUCUGCCAACUGAAUGGUUUUCAGAUGGAUACAGGGUCCAAGGAACCAGAGCGGUCUGCAGUGGUGAUGGAUGGGGAACAACACCGAGCUAUGAUCCUCUCGGUGCCCUGUGGUGAGUUUCCAUGUAGUAAAAGGAAAAAGAGAUGAGGAUCACUGGACUCCAAAAAUUGACCCUACUGGCUUUUGCUCUGGAAAAACUUACUGGGCAGUGCCAAGACUGUUUUCAAAAAUCUCAGAGAGGUCUGGCUUGUUUUUAUUUGUCCACCUUCAAGGAGUAGAACGGCAAGGGGUAUUUCUGUCUUAAUGUGUUGGUUGGUGAAAUUGAAGUGUUGGGUAAUUUCUGUGGUCUGAGGACCUGGAAGUCUUCCAAGGAGAACAUUUAUGAUGAUCUUCUCAUGAUUCUGAACCCUCUGCUCCUGCUUCUGUCAGAAUCAGGAUGCCCCUGAGAGCUUUUGGCUCUCCCUGUAUCUCUAUUGACUUCUGCCAGCACCAGCUUGAGGUUAUUAGACUGAAAACAGUUUAGUAAAUAUAAGUUGAUUGACAAAACUAUUUGG
rnacentral:lncRNA from 1 species